GGCCCGCACAAGCGGUGGAGUAUGUGGCUUAAUUCGAUGCAACGCGAAGAACCUUACCUAGGCUUGACAUGCUUGUCGUAGUUCUGUGAAAGCAGAUCGUCAGUUCGGCUGGACUUGCACAGGUGCUGCAUGGCUGUCGUCAGCUCGUGUCGUGAGAUGUUGGGUUAAGUCCCGCAACGAGCGCAACCCCCUAUGAUUAGUUGCCAGCGAGUAAUGUCGGGACUCUAGUCAGACUGCCUGUAUUAAACAGGAGGAAGGUGGGACGACGUCAAGUCAGUAUGGCCUUACGGCCUAGGGCUGCACACGUACUACAAUGCCCCAGUACAAGUGUGAACCGAUACCGCAAGGUGGAGGAAAUCCUUAAAACUGGGCUCAGUUCGGA
rnacentral:rRNA from 1 species